rnacentral:lncRNA from 1 species
UACCUUCAGCAGAUUGCAAUUGUUUGAUUUCUGAUUGUUGUAACUGUAUGGUUAGUGAUUGUUGUUUCACAGUGUUGUUAAGGACCGAUAUAAUAUUCCCCAUGCGGUUCAAACGAUCAUUGAUGACAUCCGGGUCAUUCAGUAAUAGACGUUUUGCAUCAUUUUCUCAAGCAAAACAAACUGUCAAAGCAGAAAAUGCCAGAACACAUUGAAAAUAUCCUUUCAUUGUCUAACGGUCGGAAUCCUUAUCU